rnacentral:rRNA from 1 species
UACGGAGGGUGCAAGCGUUGUCCGGAAUCACUGGGCGUAAAGGGCGCGUAGGCGGCCUGGUAAGUAGGGGGUGAAAUCCUGCGGCUUAACCCUGGGAUGCCGGUCGAUACUGCCGGACUAGAGUUCGGAAGAGGCGAGUGGAAUUCCCGGUGUAGCGGUGAAAUGCGCAGAUAUCGGGAGGAACACCAAUGGCGAAGGCAGCUCGCUGGGACGUUACUGACGCUGAGACGCGAAAGCGUGGGGAGCAAACAGG